GUCGUAACAAGGUUUCCGUAGGUGAACCUGCGGAAGGAUCAUUACCGAGUGCGGGUCCUUUGGGCCCAACCUCCCAUCCGUGUCUAUUGUACCCUGUUGCUUCGGCGGGCCCGCCGCUUGUCGGCCGCCGGGGGGGCGCCUCUGCCCCCCGGGCCCGUGCCCGCCGGAGACCCCAACACGAACACUGUCUGAAAGCGUGCAGUCUGAGUUGAUUGAAUGCAAUCAGUUAAAACUUUCAACAAUGGAUCUCUUGGUUCCGGCAUCGAUGAAGAACGCAGCGAAAUGCGAUAACUAAUGUGAAUUGCAGAAUUCAGUGAAUCAUCGAGUCUUUGAACGCACAUUGCGCCCCCUGGUAUUCCGGGGGGCAUGCCUGUCCGAGCGUCAUUGCUGCCCUCAAGCCCGGCUUGUGUGUUGGGUCGCCGUCCCCCUCUCCGGGGGGACGGGCCCGAAAGGCAGCGGCGGCACCGCGUCCGAUCCUCGAGCGUAUGGGGCUUUGUCACAUGCUCUGUAGGAUUGGCCGGCGCCUGCCGACGUUUUCCAACCAUUCUUUCCAGGUUGACCUCGGAUCAGGUAGGGAUACCCGCUGAACUUAAGCAUAUCAUA
rnacentral:rRNA from 1 species